AUUGAACGCUGGCGGCAGGCCUAACACAUGCAAGUCGAGCGAGCGGCGGACGGGUGAGUAAUGUAUGGGGACUGCCCGAUAGAGGGGGAUAACUACUGGAAACGGUGGCUAAUACCGCAUACUGUCGGAUAACCCAUAUGGGUUUAGCUGGUAGGUAGGGUAAUGGCUUACCUAGGCGACGAUCCCUAGCUGGUCUGAGAGGAUGAUCAGCAACACUGGGACUGAGACAGGGCCCAGCCCCCAACGGAGGAGGCAGUGGGGAAUAUUGCACAAGGGGGGCAGGCCUGAUGCAGCCAUGCCGCGUGUAUGAAGAAGGCCUUAGGGUUGAAAAGUACGUUCAGUCGGGAGGCGUUACCGACAGAAGAAGCACCGGCUAACUCCGUGCCAGCAGCCGCGGUAAUUC
rnacentral:rRNA from 1 species